rnacentral:rRNA from 1 species
UACGAAGGGGGCUAGCGUUGCUCGGAAUGACUGGGCGUAAAGGGCGCGUAGGCGGCGAUCACAGUCAGAUGUGAAAUUCCUGGGCUUAACCUGGGGGCUGCAUUUGAUACGUGGUUGCUUGAGUGGGGAAGAGGGUCGUGGAAUUCCCAGUGUAGAGGUGAAAUUCGUAGAUAUUGGGAAGAACACCGGUGGCGAAGGCGGCGACCUGGUCCUUGACUGACGCUGAGGCGCGAAAGCUAGGGGAGCAAACGGG